rnacentral:rRNA from 1 species
GUGGGGAAUAUUGGACAAUGGGGGGAACCCUGAUCCAGCCAUGCCGCGUGUGUGAAGAAGGCCUUUUGGUUGUAAAGCACUUUAAGCGAGGAGGAGGCUACCGAGAUUAAUACUCUUGGAUAGUGGACGUUACUCGCAGAAUAAGCACCGGCUAACUCUGUGCCAGCAGCCGCGGUAAUACAGAGGGUGCAAGCGUUAAUCGGAUUUACUGGGCGUAAAGCGCGCGUAGGUGGCCAAUUAAGUCAAAUGUGAAAUCCCCGAGCUUAACUUGGGAAUUGCAUUCGAUACUGGUUGGCUAGAGUAUGGGAGAGGAUGGUAGAAUUCCAGGUGUAGCGGUGAAAUGCGUAGAGAUCUGGAGGAAUACCGAUGGCGAAGGCAGCCAUCUGGCCUAAUACUGACACUGAGGUGCGAAAGCAUGGGGAGCAAACAGGAUUAGAAACCCGUGUAC